GACGAACGCUGGCGGCGUGCCUAAUACAUGCAAGUAGAACGCUGAAGCUUGGUGCUUGCACCGAGCGGAUGAGUUGCGAACGGGUGAGUAACGCGUAGGUAACCUGCCUGGUAGCGGGGGAUAACUAUUGGAAACGAUAGCUAAUACCGCAUAAGAGUAGAUGUUGCAUGACAUUUGCUUAAAAGGUGCAAUUGCAUCACUACCAGAUGGACCUGCGUUGUAUUAGCUAGUUGGUGAGGUAACGGCUCACCAAGGCAACGAUACAUAGCCGACCUGAGAGGGUGAUCGGCCACACUGGGACUGAGACACGGCCCAGACUCCUACGGGAGGCAGCAGUAGGGAAUCUUCGGCAAUGGACGGAAGUCUGACCGAGCAACGCCGCGUGAGUGAAGAAGGUUUUCGGAUCGUAAAGCUCUGUUGUAAGAGAAGAACGAGUGUGAGAGUGGAAAGUUCACACUGUGAC
rnacentral:rRNA from 1 species